GGGCGGAGGAAACCCUAGUUUCCGUAUCCAACGUUUGACCGUCCGUCUUUUUUUAAUGAAAAAAAUAUAAAAAAAAUUAAAAAGACAAGUCACGCAUAAAAUAUUAAUCAUGUUUUAUCAUCUAACAACAAUAAAAAUAUAAAUUAUAAAAAGUUUUCAUAUAAGACGGACAGUUAAAGUUGGACACGAAAACCCAGAGUUUGUCUUUUA
rfam:Oryza glaberrima chromosome 8 Oglab08_0001_20, whole genome shotgun sequence.